UACGUAGGGGGCAAGCGUUGUCCGGAAUGACUGGGCGUAAAGGGAGUGUAGGCGGCCUUUUAAGUUAUAUGUGAAAGCCCCCGGCUUAACCGAGGAACUGCAUAUAAAACUGGAGGGCUGGAGUGCAGGAGAGGUAAGCGGAAUUUCUAGUGUAGCGGUGGAAUGCGUAGAUAUAUGGAAGAACACCAGUGGCGAAGGCGGCCGCCUGGCCUGUUACUGACGCUGAGGCACGAAAGCGUGGGGAGCAAAUAGG
rnacentral:rRNA from 1 species